UACAUGGGGUGCAAACGUUGCUCGGAAUUAUUAGGCGUAAAGCGCGCGUAGGCGGUUACUCAAGUCGGAUGUGAAAGCCCUCGGCUUAACUGAGGAAGUGCACCCGAAACUGAGUAGCUAGAGUACUAAAGAGGGUCGCGGAAUUCCCGGUGUAGAGGUGAAAUUCGUAGAUAUCGGGAGGAACAUCAGUUGCGAAGGCGGCUCUCUGGACCAGCACUGACACUGAGGCACGAAAGCGUGGGGAGCAAACAGG
rnacentral:rRNA from 1 species